rnacentral:pre_miRNA from 1 species
UUAACUCAAAUUUGUACGGAGUUGGAAAGUUUGCUUAAGUUUGCCGCUAAGGACGCUGUUCCAACUGCUUACAAAUUUGAGUUA